CAAAGAAUCAAAAGCAAAACAAAUCAAAGGAAAAUUUUAUAGUAAAACGAAUCUAAAUUAAGUAACUUAACCAAAUUUUUCUUAACGAAAUCUAAAACUUUGAAAGUAUAUUGAUAAAUCAAUUAUUUUAAUACACCUGGAGACGAGUAAUAGAUGUCCCAAACAAAGAUGAACAGAAUGAGAUAGGAACCAAAGAACAUCUAAGAAAAUCAAGUCAAUAGUAAAGAAAUGUGAAACAUGCAAACUCACUAAAUAUGACAGACAUCCACAACAGGGGAAAUUCAAUCAACACCAAUACCCAAAUACCCCGGUGAAAUAAUUCACAUAGACCUUUAUUUAACUCAAAAACAAGUAGUACUCACAGCCAUAGACAAAUUCUCGAAAUACGCCCAAGUAAAGAUACUGAAGUCAAAAGCGUCCGAAGAUCUAAAGCAUCCCUUACGCGAAAUUAUGAUAGCAUUCGGCAUGCCACGAUUAGUUAUAAUGGAUAACGAAAAAGCAUUGAACGCGGCUUCCAUUAAAUUUCUACUAAAAGAUCAGCUCAAAGCAGAAGUAUAUACGACACCACCUUAUCACUCCACAAGUAAUGGACAAGUGGAAAGAUUCCAUUCUACUCUCACAGAAAUAAUGAGGUGUUUUAAAAAGAAAAUGAUUCAAUCGAUUUCGAGAGUUUAAUUUUCAAAGCAGUACAGGAGUACAACGGUUCAAUUCAUUCCACUACCAAGAAGAAACCAAUUGAGGUGUUCUUCGGAACAAGAACAAUAACAGAUCCACAAGAACUAGAACAAGCUAGGAAUCAGAUCAGCAACGAAA